UACAGAGGGGGCAAGCGUUGUUCGGAAUUACUGGGCGUAAAGGGCGCGUAGGCGGCCUGUUAAGUCGAACGUGAAAUCCCCGGGCUCAACCCGGGAACUGCGUCCGAUACUGGCAGGCUUGAAUCCGGGAGAGGGAUGCGGAAUUCCAGGUGUAGCGGUGAAAUGCGUAGAUAUCAGGAGGAACACCCGUAGCGAAGGCGGCACUCUGGGCCGAUUCUGACACUGAGGAGCGAAAGCGUGGGGAGCGAACAGG
rnacentral:rRNA from 1 species